AAUAUCGGUCCGGCGUUUCUGGGUUAUCAUUUCACAACCUUCCCAUUGACACUAACUUGACCGUUAU
rnacentral:sRNA from 1 species